rnacentral:sRNA from 1 species
AGAUAUUUCAAGGAAACAAAGAUUAUCACCAGGAUGUGCGUAAUAACUUUUUGCCACCAAUUAUUGCACGUUUUAUUAGAGUGAAUCCUACCCAAUGGCAGCAGAAAAUUGCCAUGAAAAUGGAGCUGCUCGGAUGUCAGUUUAUUCCUAAAGGUCGUCCUCCAAAACUUACUCAACCUCCACCUCCUCAGAACAGCAAUGACCUCAAAAACACUACAGCCCCUCCAAAAAUAGCCAAAGGUCGUGCCCCAAAAUUUACCCAACCACUACAACCUCGCAGUAGCAAUGAAUUUCCUGCACAGACAGAACAAACAACUGCCAGUCCUGAUAUCAGAAAUACUACUGUAACUCCAAAUGUAACCAAAGAUGUAGCACUGGCUGCAGUUCUUGUCCCUGUGCUGGUCAUGGUCCUCACUACUCUCAUUCUCAUAUUAGUGUGUGCUUGGCACUGGAGAAACAGAAAGAAAAAAACUGAAGGCACCUAUGACUUACCUUACUGGGACCGGGCAGGUAACUCACGUGGUCUUUGCAUCUCAUUUCUAUCUGAGGGAUGUCGCUCCCCUACAGGGGGCAGUAGUGAAAAAAGAGUCAUUCUCAGGCCGUGAACUCCUCGACACUGUUAGAACAAUGGCAUUACUCUUCAGUUCUCACCAUUUUUACCCUUCUGCAAAGUCUCUUGUAAUUCCUAAGUAAUGAAAUGAAAAGUACAAAUUUCUUAAAACAA